UAUAUUUUAAUAUAUGAAGUAUAAAAAUUUUUGAAAUUUUAAGAAAUAGUUUAAUUCUAUUAAAUAUAA
rnacentral:tRNA from 1 species